UACGUGGGGUGCGAGCGUUGUUCGGAAUCAUUGGGCGUAAAGCGCACGUAGGCGGGUUCGUAAGUCGAUUGUGAAAGCCCUAGGCUUAACCUGGGAAUUGCAGUCGAAACUGCGAAUCUUGAAUACCUGAGAGGGUGGGAGAAUUCCUGGUGGAGUAGUGAAAUACGUAGAGAUCAGGAGGAAUACCGGAGGCGAAGGCGCCUGCCUGGCGGUGUAUUGACGCUGAGGUGCGAAAGCGUGGGGAGCAAACAGG
rnacentral:misc_RNA from 1 species